rnacentral:lncRNA from 1 species
GGAGGAUUGCUUGAGCCUGCUUCCAUAUCGUAAACUGCCUUGGAACCAAUUACCACUACCAGGGAGACAAACUAUUGCUUAGAGGAUGCUGACAGGAGCAGCAUGCCAAAAUUGGAAGAACUGUAGACCAAGACCUGGAAUUAACACAUCAGAAGAUUCUAUGAGGAAACCCAUUUAAAAAUAGGAUGCAUUUUUUUCUUUUCUGCACAGGGAGAAAGUUUAAGCUCUCCUCACUAUGAGUUUUCAAGUAUAAAAGACUUUUUCUUCCACGAUUUUGAGAACAACUGAGGACUCUUGUGACCAGGACAACAGGGAAGCUUGCAGCAAGAUAGCUCCAGGUUGGAUUCAUGCUUCGCACCCCAAGGGCUGCCAGCCAGAGAGGAGGAGAAGCAAUCACUCCUGCAGUUUCUGAACACUACACAGACGCCAGGUAGCUUCUUCAGGAGAACAGCCCUCUGAGGAGGCAGGAAGAGGAGGCUUAUCUUUCAGCAGCCGGAGCUGCUGAGAUCUCUGGGCAGAUUAAGCUCUCUCUAAUGGAUGGGCUCCAGCCUGGCACAUUCAGUGGAGAGGGAUCCACUCAUCCAUCAUCAACAUAAUAUGGUCCUCCCUGCACUUCACAGUGUCCUCUUGCUAUUGAAAAGGCUUUUUUGCCUUCUCAAGUUUCUUUGUCAACAGUCUACAGGAAGAAGCUCAGGCCGCCACCGGCAGAGGUGAAUGCAAGCUCACGUUUUAUUUCUGACUGCUUAAUCAUUGCCUCGAUCACUGCUCAAGCUCUGCCUUUGUUUCCAAAGGUUACCUGUGGGAAAACUUCUUUUUCUAUGCUGAAAUUAAUAGGGAGGCAAAGAUGAGUCCACUGAUAAGCAGAGCCUUAAAACUCACAUAGAGAAACAACUUUGCUGGAGUGUGUGUGAGUGAACCACUAAGGAAUCAGAUAGUGUGAUGGCAGUUAUCAUUGCAGGUUAAGACAUUUCUACAAAUAUUUCGACAUCUCCAUAUACUCACUCCUUUCCCCCCUGAGUGGAGAGACUCAGCUACCAAGAGAGGAAGCUCAAAAAAAACAGAAGCUUCAAACAAACAACCAACCAAAAAAAAAAAAAAACUGUGGGUUCAUCAGAGGUGGUAGGGAAGACAAAAACAUGGGAGGAGCAGCUGGGCACGGUGGCUCAAGCCUGUAAUCCCAGCACUUUGCGAGGCUGAGGUGGGUGGAUCACCUGAGGUCAGGAGUUCGAGACCAGCCUGGCCAACAUGGUGAAACCCCAUCUCUACUAAAAAUACAAAAAAUUAGCCGGGCGUUGUGGUACGCACCUGUAAUCCCAGCUACUCCGGAGGCUGAGGCAGCAGAAUCGCUUGAACCCAGGAGGCAGAGGUUGCAACGAGCCAAGAUCGCACCAUUGCACUCCAGCCUGGGCAACAAGAGCGAAACUCCAUCUAAAAAAAACAAACAAGCAAACAAACAAAAAACACGGGAGGAGCAAUAAAAAGGAAUCCAUGCUUUGAUUUUUUUUUUUAGUGAGAGGAAGGGAAGGCUGCUGCCUCUCACUUCUCCCUGUUUUGUUGUUCUUUUAAGUAGCAUGUGUCACUCUGUAUAUAUCCUGUCCAUGUGUUUUCUUUUAUUAUUAUUUGUCCACUUGCCUAGAAUGAAAACUCCAUGGGAGCAUGGCUAUAGUGUCUUGUUCACUCCUGCCUCUCCAGGGCCUGAAACAGAAGUAGGUAGACAGAGCCUGAAACAAAAGUAGGCAGUCCAUAAACUUUGCUGAAGGAAUGAGUGAAUGAAUGAAGACCCCAAGGAUGGACCUCAGGAAGGUGAGCCUGGGCAAAGGUUUUCAGUCCUAGUCCAUCAUGACCACAUAGCUGGAAUACACUUAUUUCACUUUGUCACAUGAAUUAGAGAUUCAUUUGGGGAAACAAGCAACUGUUAGAGUUGCAGACAUCUCUGAGGGGUAAAUGGCUGUUCAAAUCUUGCAUCUUACCCUGAUCCUCACUCUAUCUGCUUUCCAAAAACAUGGAGCUAAGAUCCCAGCACUGAGAAGAUGGGCAUUCCUAGCAGGGGGCAUUUAGGUGUAGACAGCCUCAGUGACUCCUGGGUUUAGGAUCAGUGAGAUAAUCUCCAGUAUCUACAGUGGGCAGGUGGAAGAGUGUCUGAUGCAAACUGUAUCUAUUUACAAGCUUUCCAGACAGCUGGGCUUGUGCCUUGGAAAUACAAUAAUAUUUGUUUCUCCUCCUUCCUCUUCACUCCUUGGCCUCGUGUUCUGCAGUACUGGAACCUGGGUCAGAUUUAGCUACCUCAUUCAUUCAUUUAUGAAUUCAUUUAGCCAGUGAUUAUGGAGCACAAAUUUGUGCCGGAAACUGUGCCUCAGUGUCCUCAACAGGUUCUGACUUGUGAAUUCCAAAAGCUUUUGUGAUCUACUGGGUAAAACAUUGUUUUCUAAGGAAAAUGACAUGCUGAUUGCUGAACAGCAUAUUCUAAUUACCUUGUGGAUCCCAGGCCAUUCUUAAAUUGGGUUUUGUCUUUAUUGCCUUAGACUGUUAAUGAAUUGUUUCCCAGUCUGAUUGAAUGCUCCUUGAAGACGGACCCGGGUCCAGCCACUGCAGUAAAUAUUGCUAACUUGGGGGUGUAAUUCUGCUGCUUUUGUGGUUGCUGCUUUGCUUAUUUUUUUAUGUCUGCUGUUUCCUGUGAGAUUGUUUCUGUGUUUCAUAUGUGGAUUGAUGUUCGGUGAGGUUUAUGGAAUUUCUGUGCAGCUUGGGUUAAGAGUAUCUCUUCAAAAAGGUUUUUGCAUUUGCUUCUGCCAACCUUGUUAUCAGCUCAAGUUGUUUCUUAUGUUGAAUUAUUGGGGAUGACCUCCCCCACACUCAAGUAGUAUAAAUUAGAACCUCGCUGGGUGUGGUGGCUCACUCCUGUAAUCCCAACACCUUGGGAGGCCAAGGUGCGCAGAUCUCUUGAGUCCAGGAGCUCAACACCAGCCUGGGCAACAUGGCAAAACCCUGUCUCUAGAAAAAAUGCAAAAAUUAGCCAGGCAUGGUGGCACAUGCUUGUAGUCCCAGCUAUUCGGGAGCCUGAGGUAGGAGGAUUGCUUGAGCCCAGGAGGAGGAGGUUGCAGUGAGCAUUUAUCAUGCCACUGCACUCCAGCCUGGGCAAUGGAGUGAGACCCUGUCCCCCAAAAAAUUUUUUUAAACUCAAACCCUAUGGUAUUAUACCUGCUGUGGGUAUAAUCCUUUAGUUACGAUUGGAUGCUUGCUAUGAUUUCUCAGAAGGAAAACAUUUUUUCCUACCCAGAGCUCUUUACAGCUAAGCAGAAUUUCCCCAAAUGUGCCUUUAAAAGGUAUUGGCUUAUGCAGGCUUCUCAGUUUGAUGUCUUGUUCCUGAAUGAGCAAUGAAACCCCAAACGGACAACCUUGCCCUCAAGGACAGCCGAAGUAUCAGAUACUCCUUGCAACUCCUUAUGUCAGCUCACACUCCAUUUGUGGACAUGGAGCAUUUCCUUCCUUUUUUCUUUUCCUUUUGCAAAUCUAGUUAUGCAUUUAAAAGGAUGCAAUGUACCCAUUAUUUCCAGGUGUUUUAUGGCACUAAUGUGUAUGGCAGAAAUGGGUGUUCUCUAAUUGUUCAUAAUUCAAGGUAAUUAUAGACAUAUUGUUUCAAAAUUAAAUCAAUAGAUUUUCAAGCCAUGCUAUGUAUAAAGCUCCAUGCGGGACACAAAAAGGGAAAAAACACUAUGUACCAUGCACCCUUAAGCAAUUUCACACAUGCUGUCUUAUCUAAUUUUCACGACAGUCUUAUGAGACAGUUAUUAUCCCCAUUUUAUAGAUGAGGAAGCUGAGGCUGCAUGAUGAGUGGCUUGCUCAAAGUCACAUAUCUAAUCAAUAAGACAGCUGGCAUAAAACCCAUAUCUCACUCGAAAGUCUGUGCUUUCCCAUUG